rnacentral:lncRNA from 1 species
ACUGAGUUAAAAAUUGAAACAUCAAGCCAUGGGAAUGAAGAAAGGGAAGCCUGUGUUACCUAUCACUACUGUGCCAAAGUCCUUCCUUUUGUCCAGACAUUCCACUUUACAAAAGAGGGCGACGGGAACGAUGAGGUGUGGCUCGAGCUGAGGGAAAGUUUAUCUAUUCUCUCUGGGUAGAGGCAUGGGGAGAACUCCCAUUAUCCAAUUUGACAAACUCCUGACCUGCUUUAGCAGUUGAAAAUCAUCGUUCAUGGAUGCUUGGAUGACACAGAUGCCUCCUCUGAUGAAUAGGGUACAAAGUGGAGCCAGGAAAGCAGCAGGUGGGCCACCAUGGGGCCUGUGACAGGCAGGCUCAGCCAGAAAAAUGACAGAUGGAGAGAUGGAUUGAUCCAUGGAUUAUUAAAUCAUCAAGUUCUCGGCUUCUCUAACCUUCAUCGGGCCCUUGGAUCUCUGUCCAGGAACUCCAAACCCACCCCUACAAAGCAGGUAGAGCUGGACCUGGCAGCCCUCCACAGCCUUAGCCUUUGCCUCUGCCUCCGGGGGACUCUGGAUAGGAGACACAGGCACUCAGUUCUCACUCAGGGUGAGGCUGAAACCCAUAGGGUUCCUAUUUAAAGCCUGUCUCAUUCAUCAUUUCAGCACCAACCAACAAUUAACCCUGAUUCAGUCAAUGCCGACAACACAACCAGCCUUGCGCUGAUUAUUUAAAACUCUGUCCUGGCCUCUGGGGCCUUCAGAACCGGGACUGUUUGUCCUGCCAGGAACGAAGCCCCACCCUCCGGAUCCAGGAUCCCAAGGACAUAUGUAGGGUAUAGGGUCUGCUUAUGCAGCCCUGGCUGGAGCUCUCUCCACCUAGCUCACUGAGGGAGAUCUGAGAGGCUGGCUGGGAGGAACAGCUCUGAGAAGGCUCUGGGAGGACUCAGAGACGCCAGGAGAACAGGAAAAGGGACCUAGAGACAGAAGGA